rnacentral:rRNA from 1 species
UACGUAGGGGGCUAGCGUUAUCCGGAAUUACUGGGCGUAAAGGGUGCGUAGGCGGUCUUUCAAGUCAGAAGUGAAAGGCUACGGCUCAACCGUAGUAAGCUUUUGAAACUGUAAGACUUGAGUGCAGGAGAGGAGAGUAGAAUUCCUAGUGUAGCGGUGAAAUGCGUAGAUAUUAGGAGGAAUACCAGUUGCGAAGGCGGCUCUCUGGACUGUAACUGACGCUGAGGCACGAAAGCGUGGGGAGCAAACAGG